rnacentral:rRNA from 1 species
GACGUAGGGCGCGAGCGUUGUCCGGAUUUAUUGGGCGUAAAGAGCUCGUAGGCGGCUUGUCGCGUCGAAUGUGAAAUCUCAGGGCUCAACCCUGACAUUGCAUUCGAUACGGGCAGGCUAGAGUUCGGUAGGGGAGACUGGAAUUCCUGGUGUAGCGGUGAAAUGCGCAGAUAUCAGGAGGAACACCGGUGGCGAAGGCGGGUCUCUGGGCCGUAACUGACGCUGAGGAGCGAAAGCAUGGGGAGCGAACAGG